AGGUAAUUAAUUCAGUGGUAGAAUAAUUCGCUUACAACGAAAAUGUCAAUGGUUCAAUUCCAUUAUUACCUA
rnacentral:tRNA from 1 species